CCUACGGGGGGCUGCAGUGGGGAAUAUUGGACAAUGGGGGGAACCCUGAUCCAGCCAUGCCGCGUGUGUGAAGAAGGCCCUCGGGUUGUAAAGCACUUUCAGUGAGGAAGAACGCCUGGUGGUUAAUACCCAUCAGGAAAGACAUCACUCACAGAAGAAGCACCGGCUAACUCCGUGCCAGCAGCCGCGGUAAUACGGAGGGUGCGAGCGUUAAUCGGAAUUACUGGGCGUAAAGCGCGCGUAGGUGGCUUGAUAAGCCGGUUGUGAAAGCCCCGGGCUCAACCUGGGAACGGCAUCCGGAACUGUCGAGCUAGAGUGCAGGAGAGGAAGGUAGAAUUCCCGGUGUAGCGGUGAAAUGCGUAGAGAUCGGGAGGAAUACCAGUGGCGAAGGCGGCCUUCUGGACUGACACUGACACUGAGGUGCGAAAGCGUGGGUAGCAAACAGGAUUAGAUACCCCUGUAGUC
rnacentral:rRNA from 1 species